AUUGAUCACGAGUGUGUUUUAUCAGUUUGGGCAGUUUUAAUGCAUGUGUGACGUUCAAUACAUAAAGUUACGCUUUCAUUUAAUACGCUACGACGUGGACUCGACCUAGUUUACGCGGUCACUGCAGUGACAGAAACAGAAACACUGGAUCACUGGCUGCAUGUGUCUGUCAUACUGCAACAACUUACAGUAGUCACCAAGGGGCGGGGCUUAGCGAAGGGUCAGUUACAGACAGGUGUGUUAGAGCAGGGCUGGGGCUGAACUCUGCAGGAGCUGGACUGAGCACCGCGGUUCCUGAGGAUUUCAGGUAACAUGAAG
ensembl:lncRNA